GAUGAAGAACGUAGCGAAAUGCGAUAAGUAAUGUGAAUUGCAGAAUUCAGUGAAUCAUCGAAUCUUUGAACGCACAUUGCGCCCGCCAGUAUUCUGGCGGGCAUGCCUGUUCGAGCGUCAUUUCAACCAUCAAGCCCCAGGCUUGUGUUGGGGACCUGCGGCUGCCGCAGGCCCUGAAAACCAGUGGCGGGCUCGCUGUCACACCGGGCGUAGUAGAUUUUAUCUCGCUCAGGGCGUGCUGCGGGUUCCGGCCGUUAAAAAGCCUUUUUUACCCAAGGUUGACCUCGGAUCAGGUAGGAAGACCCGCUGAACUUAAGCAUAUCAAUAAGCGGGGA
rnacentral:misc_RNA from 1 species